GUUUCUGUAGUGUAGUGGUUAUCACGUGCGCCUCACACGCGCAAGGUUGCCUGUUCGAACCCGGCGAGAAACA
rnacentral:tRNA from 1 species